ACCCGCCAGCCCCGCGCUCUACCAGGCAGAGCGCGUGUGGCCGCCGAGCACAUGGACCCACUGGUCAAGCGGGCUCGGCAAGGCCAGGAUGAAGAGAAGCUACGAACUUAGCAUUCCCAGAGCCCCCCGAGUGGAUAUCCGCGUGGAAAGGAUGUUGGCAGCCCCGGUGACCUCGGAGUCACGGCUGGAUCCACCCUCUUAGAGCCGAGUUCUGUCACCACAGACAUUGGCAGUGGCACUUGCAUGCCCCUGGCAAGCAGUCUAUCCUGAGGUGGAGGAAGUUGCCCUUGAGUUCUGGCUGGUAACCAGCACAGUAUACCCUUUAAGCGUUCCAGAAGGAUUUUGAGAUCCUUUCCUAAAUCAAAGGUGGAAUAUUUGGGGAUUUGGAAAAUUGAGCCAGUCUCUCAGAAGAACCAGUUGUGUUACUUUGCUGUGAGAUGCCUGCCCUAAGAGAGGAGCAGAAGGUCGGAACGGGUCCUCUAAUGUGAUAAUUAGAUGUGAAGCGUUGACUUAAGAGAUGCCAAGUAACUCAGCAGAUGUCACACAGACGAUAAAUAGCAAAGAUGGAAGUCUUCAUGCCGGAGGCAAUCCUAUAAGACAGCUGAGUUCUGCAGAGCUGGUAGGAGACAGACUUGCUCAGGUGAUAGAUCCAGCCAUGAUACUGACCCUAAGAGAAUGAGACGCUCUGCAGAAGACAGAAGAUUCCUGAAACUGGGAAAGGUGCCUAGAAAUCCUGAUAAGAGUGAAGAAGGGUACCUGGAGGCACAGCAGCCAUGUUGAACCUAUGAGGUGAUGAAAAACCAUGCAACUAGAAACCAGAAUGGAAGAAAAGAAGAAGCUGGAUCCUUGACUGAAUUGUCGAUGGGGGAUAGUCCAUCAUCCCAGGGCUAAGACCACCUCCAGAUUUCUUGUUUGGUGAAACAAGUCCUGAUUGUUUACAUUCCCUCGUGUUGAGCUGUCUCUUGCUUGUAGCUGAAAGCAUUUCUAAUAGAUAUUCAGAUUAUCAGCCUUAGCUCCAAGCUAGAAUACUCUAUGGGACCUUAGCUUCUCCAUGAAUUCCUUUGCUCAUCUGUGUAAUGCUCAAUAAAUGUAAAUUGAACCCUGAAUGAGGGACAAUGACA
rnacentral:lncRNA from 1 species